AUCGUACUCUCUCAGUCCAACAAAAGAUGUCUCAACUUUGACUAAAUUUGAAUGCUCUAUACAAUAAGUCAUGUUUAGAUACAUCCAAAUUUUGACAAACUUGAGACAUCUUUUGUUGGAGAGGGAGUAGUCC
rfam:Brachypodium distachyon strain Bd21 chromosome 5, whole genome shotgun sequence.